GGAAUUGCUCUGGUGCUCCUCCUGUGCUGCCGAGGGCACCCACAGACACUGCUCUGGCCUGAGGGACAGCAUAACCAGCUGGGAAUGUGAUGGCUGUGCUGGUCUGGGCACAGCCUCCUGAGAUGACUCAGGGCUUGCUGGUGUCAGCGUGGCCAGACAGUCAGGACUGGAGCCUUCUGACAGCUCCAGGGAACCUGAGACCAUCAGCCCCAACACAGGCAGCCUGGCGCUAUCAGGGCUGUCUCCCAGUUCUCCAGCACUGGAGACCGUCAGCCCCAGCCCCAGCGCCCAGCUGCCAUCUCCUGGAUCUGCAGCACCACAGACCAGCAACCUCCACACCACCCGAUAGGCAACAUCGGAGCAGUCUCUACAAUCUCCCUCACAGGAGACGAGCAGCUCCAGCUCUGACAAGCAAGUAACAUCGGGGUCAUCCCACAGCAGCUUCCCAGAAACUGAGGACAGCAGCUGCUCCAGCAGUCGGGGGCCUGACCGACGGCAAAACCACUCCCGCCAGCAACGUUGGGCCCAAAUUCCACACCUUCGGUCCUGAAGUCCCCAGGACAGGAGCCAUGUGCCAGCACCAAGUCCUGGGAGGCGCAGGCCCAGGCAGAGACACUCAAGGACAUCCCGCAGGGGAAAUCGCUCCCGCCUGCAACGUCAGACCCCAAAUCCAUCCGGCCGGUGCAGAAGUCCCCAUGACAGGAACUGCACGCCAGCACCGAGUGCUGGGAGGCGAAACCAAAGGGAAACAGCAGCCAGGACUCCCCAAAGACAACACCACUCCCGCCAGCAGCGUCGGACCCGGAACUCAUCCAGAACAUUCAGAAGUCACCGUGACAGGAGCUGUGUUAGAGCACCCAGUGCUGGGAGCUCCACUCACCGGUGGGACGGUGAGACAGGGACCCACCACUGACGUGUCCCACGUCAGACAGAGAGGAGGAGGCCCCCAAAGGGAGGGAGCCAGGUGAGAGCAAAGUGCCCCUCCCGCAGCCUGGCAGAGGGGCUGUCAGGGUGGGCAGCACAGGUGCCAUGCCUGGGGCCACUGUCUCUCUCCCUCCAGCAUGCCUGCUGUGUCAGUAAUCAGAGGCUGACCCGGACAUCUUGUGCAGAAAAACUCCAGAUAAAUGGGCUCUGGGCCCACGAGUUCUGCCGGGGGAGUUACUCCAUUUUUUGACAGGCAGUCCCUGCCACUCUCUCCUGAUAAGUGUCCUGCAGGUUACUCGGCUGGUGAAGGUCACCAUGGACAGCUCACCUUAUUUCAAGUUGGUCGGCCCCAAUGGUGUGUGCCAUCAGAUCCCACCGGGCUCAUUUUGUACUAUAAACAUCCUUUUCACCCCUGAGGAGAGCAAGGUGAGUUGGAGGAACGUUCUCUCUAAAGCCAGGGCGUUUGUUGCACGCUGGUUAUAGCCCAGCCCGUGCUGUGAGGUCGGCUCUGGGCUGGGGGCAGGCAGCCUGGAGCUGGUCACACCUUGGCACGGCGUGGUGCUGCCAGGCCCUGCAGCUGGGCCUAGAGGGCUGUGCUUUCCCUCCAUGCCUGUUCUUGAACGUUCACGGGGGAAGAGGCAGAUGGAACAGCAGGGAAGUGACAGGGAGGGGUGUUGAUGUUUAGCCAUCUCUAGGUUCAGUGGAAGGGAUUUAAAUAUGGAAAAUACUAGAGGAACAAAAAGAUGAUCCAGAGAGCUUUAUUCUUUCCCAUUGGAAUGGAGCAAAAAUGAUGCUUUUUCACAUGCUCUGUUCUCCAGCCUUUAUUAGUAUGAAUUAGUGGUCGUAAAACUAACAUAUGGCCUCCUGGAUCUGCAGCACCACAGACCAGCAACCUCCACACCACCCAGAGACCAUCAGCCCUGGGAACUGCUCCUGUGCAGAGAACACCCCGAAGGCGAAACCAGUCCCGCCAGCCAACGGGACUGGUUAAUGCAGCCAGUGCCAGGAGCCACUGGGAGGGACUGGGAGGGACUGGGUGUCCUUUCACUAUAAAUUUUAGACAAGGUAAAAGGGAGAAUGAUUCGAGCUAAUUAAAAAGAAAACAACCUAAAGUCAACACAACUCGGAGAGAGAAAAGAAAAAGAAAUCGUAAAACUUAAUUGGGCCCCUGUAAAGACAUAAACCAAGUUACCUCCCUUUUACCUUGUCUAAGGUUCAUAGUGAAGGGACUUGGUUUAGUUAUAGAUAAUGACACCUUUCUGAAAAAUUGAUAACUUUGAGCAGAUGUUUGCUUGUUAUCUACACAAUGUCUGACUUGACAAUGUGUAAUGAAUAUAUAUAUUUAUAUAGAGAAUAAAAUAGAACAAGUGUCUCCUUUGGGGGUUGUUCAAACCCCUCCCUGAUCCCCCAGUGCUGAAUUUGCUUUUCUCAGAUAAUAAAUUCUGGUUGGAAACCA